CUAUGUGUUGUUGGGUAGGGGAGCGUUCUGUAAGCCUGUGAAGGUGUACUGUGAGGUAUGCUGGAGGUAUCAGAAGUGCGAAUGCUGACAUAAGUAACGAUAAAGCGGGUGAAAAGCCCGCUCGCCGGAAGACCAAGGGUUCCUGUCCAACGUUAAUCGGGGCAGGGUGAGUCGACCCCUAAGGCGAGGCCGAAAGGCGUAGUCGAUGGGAAACAGGUUAAUAUUCCUGUACUUGGUGUUACUGCGAAGGGGGGACGGAGAAGGCUAUGUUGGCCGGGCGACGGUUGUCCCGGUUUAAGCGUGUAGGCUGGUUUUCCAGGCAAAUCCGGAAAAUCAAGGCUGAGGCGUGAUGACGAGGCACUACGGUGCUGAAGCAACAAAUGCCCUGCUUCCAGGAAAAGCCUCUAAGCAUCAGGUAACAUCAAAUCGUACCCCAAACCGACACAGGUGGUCAGGUAGAGAAUACCAAGGCGCUUGAGAGAACUCGGGUGAAGGAACUAGGCAAAAUGGUGCCGUAACUUCGGGAGAAGGCACGCUGAUAUGUAGGUGAAGUCCCUCGCGGAUGGAGCUGAAAUCAGUCGAAGAUACCAGCUGGCUGCAACUGUUUAUUAAAAACACAGCACUGUGCAAACACGAAAGUGGACGUAUACGGUGUGACGCCUGCCCGGUGCCGGAAGGUUAAUUGAUGGGGUCAGCGCAAGCGAAGCUCUUGAUCGAAGCCCCGGUAAACGGCGGCCGUAACUAUAACGGUCCUAAGGUAGCGAAAUUCCUUGUCGGGUAAGUUCCGACCUGCACGAAUGGCGUAAUGAUGGCCAGGCUGUCUCCACCCGAGACUCAGUGAAAUUGAACUCGCUGUGAAGAUGCAGUGUACCCGCGGCAAGACGGAAAGACCCCGUGAACCUUUACUAUAGCUUGACACUGAACAUUGAGCCUUGAUGUGUAGGAUAGGUGGGAGGCUUUGAAGUGUGGACGCCAGUCUGCAUGGAGCCGACCUUGAAAUACCACCCUUUAAUGUUUGAUGUUCUAACGUUGACCCGUGAUCCGGGUUGCGGACAGUGUCUGGUGGGUAGUUUGACUGGGGCGGUCUCCUCCUAAAGAGUAACGGAGGAGCACGAAGGUUGGCUAAUCCUGGUCGGACAUCAGGAGGUUAGUGCAAUGGCAUAAGCCAGCUUGACUGCGAGCGUGACGGCGCGAGCAGGUGCGAAAGCAGGUCAUAGUGAUCCGGUGGUUCUGAAUGGAAGGGCCAUCGCUCAACGGAUAAAAGGUACUCCGGGGAUAACAGGCUGAUACCGCCCAAGAGUUCAUAUCGACGGCGGUGUUUGGCACCUCGAUGUCGGCUCAUCACAUCCUGGGGCUGAAGUAGGUCCCAAGGGUAUGGCUGUUCGCCAUUUAAAGUGGUACGCGAGCUGGGUUUAGAACGUCGUGAGACAGUUCGGUCCCUAUCUGCCGUGGGCGCUGGAGAACUGAGGGGGGCUGCUCCUAGUACGAGAGGACCGGAGUGGACGCAUCACUGGUGUUCGGGUUGUCAUGCCAAUGGCACUGCCCGGUAGCUAAAUGCGGAAGAGAUAAGUGCUGAAAGCAUCUAAGCACGAAACUUGCCCCGAGAUGAGUUCUCCCUGACUCCUUGAGAGUCCUGAAGGAACGUUGAAGACGACGACGUUGAUAGGCCGGGUGUGUAAGCGCAGCGAUGCGUUGAGCUAACCGGUACUAAUGAACCGUGAGG
rnacentral:rRNA from 1 species